AAGUCGUAACAAGGUUUCCGUAGGUGAACCUGCGGAAGGAUCAUUACUGAGUUAGGGUCUUCUAGGCUCGACCUCCUACCCUUUGUCUACCUUACCUUUUGUUGCUUCGGCGGAUCCGUCCUCUAGGGGACCGCCGGAGGGUGUCAAGCCCCUCUGGCCCGCGUCCGCCGGUGGCCCACAACCAAAACUCUUGUCAAAACGUGUCGUCUAAGUACCAAAAAAAUAAAGUAAAAACUUUCAACAACGGAUCUCUUGGUUCUG
rnacentral:misc_RNA from 1 species